CCGUAGCCCAAGAGAUCGGGAUAACACCUGGAAACAGAUGCUAAUAACCGGAUAACAACAGAUGAUGCCUAUCAACUGUUUAAAAGAUGGUUCUGCUAUCACUCUUGGAUGGACCUGCGGUGCAUUAGCUAGUUGGUAGGGUAACGGCCUACCAAGGCGAUGAUGCAUAGCCGAGUUGAGAGACUGAUCGGCCACAUUGGGACUGAGACACGGCCCAAACUCCUACGGGAGGCAGCAGUC
rnacentral:rRNA from 1 species